AAACCAAGAAAACCAGUGGACAUGUCAACCACCAUUUCCACACAUAAACAUAAACAUAAACACAAACACCACCCACGGCUUCUUUUGUCAUAAGCUCUCAAACCCUUCUCUCUUAACCUCCUACCCAUAAUAAUUAUUAAUUAAUUAAUUAUAAUUAGUUGUCUAUUUAUAUAAAUAAAUACCCAAAAAGAAUUGUUCAGGUCCUCUUUUGUUGUUUAUUAGUUUUGUUGCUUAAGAGGUCAAUUAGUCGUUGAGCUUUCUCUUUCUCUGUUUGAUCGGCUGGUAGUUCUUAUGUUUGACUCUAAUUGAAGCAACCCUUGUCUCUUAAGCUCUAUACUCCAAUGGCUUUUCUCCUGUUCUCUUUGAUUUCUCGCUUUCGCUUGCAUUUCGAACAAAGAGGCUUGGUGGGGAAGAUUCGGAGUUGAAUUUCUCGAAUGGGUUGCUUGAGUUUGGAAAUGGGGGUCGUGAAAAUUUUGGGGUUUAUGUGGUCUCAGAGAAGGAAGUUGAGGUUUCUAUACUGGGUUGCAUUCUGGUUGUGUGUAGCUUUGGUGCUUUUUCAGCCGGUGGCGGGUCUCAGACCCUUGCGGGAAAGGGCUCGCUCGUGGGGUGAUGAGUGGCUAUUUGUAAGAAAAGAUGAAAGUGAUUUGGGUCCAUUUUCUACAUGGAACAUAACAGGAACUUACAGAGGGACUUGGAAGUUUCCUGAUUCUGCAAAUAGCUCUUCCAGAUUUCCGGAUUUUAGGAAAUCCGACGGCAACUCUAUCAUCGAAUUAGUUAGCACGCAAACAAAAAUAACUGGUGUACAUUACGUGCAGGGUGUAAUUAUUUUCCAUGAUGUGUUCGACAAUGAACACAAUGUUGGUGGUGUUCAAAUCAAGGUGGAAGGUGUAUUUAUAUGGCCGUUUAGACAACUUCGAAUGGUAGCUAACAGUGGAAAAGAGGGAGAGUCCAGUCAAGAAGAAGAUUACAUGUUGUCAAAUCCGUAUCAUAUGCUUGGAGUUUUCUCUUCCCAGGUUUUCCAAGAAUCUCCUCGAGAUAAGAUAUGGAGGAAAAAGCAUUCUCCAAUUUAUGAAAUGGAGAAACAUUGUAAUAUAGAAAUUGCGGGCCAAAUUUCACGUGUCUCAUCCCCCCAUAAUGAUGGUGAUCGUGAUCGUUACCACAUAGAAGCAUUCAUGGAGAGUCCUGCAGUGGAUGAUGAUGGAGAUUGCUUCUCACCCUUGAUACUAAAUGCUACAUCUGUCAACGUUGAGGUGUACUACAACAAAGCAGUGAACUAUACCUUGAUGGUCACCUUUGUCUCCUUUCUCCAAGUUCUUCUCUUAAUUCGCCAAAUGGAACAUAGCAACACUCAGUCGGGGGCUGCCAAAGUUUCAAUUCUAAUGAUUGGCCAACAGGCUAUCAUGGAUGCUUAUCUUUGCCUUCUACAUUUGACCGCAGGAAUACUUGUUGAAUCCUUAUUUAAUGCUUUUGCAACUGCCGCUUUUUUCAAGUUUGUUGUCUUCUCAAUAUUUGAGAUGAGAUAUCUUCUUGCUAUAUGGAAAGCAAGUAGGCCUACAAAUAGUGGAGAAGGUUGGGAGACAAUGAGGCGUGAGCUUUCAGUUUUAUAUAGCCGUUUCUAUGGGAUCCUUUUGGGAGGCAUUCUGUUCAUGUAUGAGUUCCAUAACUUCCUGAGACCUAUUCUUCUCCUUAUGUACUCCUUUUGGAUACCACAAAUAAUCACCAAUGUUAUUCGUGAUUCGAGGAAACCAUUGCAUCCUCAUUACAUCUUAGGCAUGACUGUUACUCGGCUUGCAAUCCCGUUAUACAUAUUUGGUUGCCCUAACAACUUCAUGCGUAUUGAGCCCGACAAGAGUUGGUGUAUUUGUUUGGGUGUAUUUAUUGGACUGCAAGCAUCAAUUCUUCUUCUUCAGCACUAUCUUGGCUCUCGAUGGUUCAUUCCUCGUCAGAUUCUACCUGAAAAAUAUAGCUACUUUAGAAGGUAUGAUCAGGAUACACAUCACACCACAGACUGUGUCAUUUGCAUGACUGCAGUUGAUCUCGCACAGCGUUCAAAUGAUUGCAUGGUGACACCGUGCGACCAUUUCUUUCAUUCAGGUUGUUUACAAAGGUGGAUGGAUAUAAAGAUGGAGUGCCCAACUUGUCGGCGUCCACUGCCACCAGCCUGAUCCGUUCACUCUGUCUAUAUCACGUAUAGGAUCAACUGACAUCGCCCAACUCACUAAUCUUGGUUGGGUAUUGAAUCCAUAAUCAACUUGAGUGCACCUUCAGAAGAGGGAUGAGAUACAAAUCAAAUUCCUAACUGUAACUGAUUCUGCAACUGCCAACUCUAGCCAAUAAUUUUUUUUGCACUGUUGUAUAAUGUAUAUCUUAGUAAGCAAUUCCAUAGGUGCAAAUCCUUAUUAAUCCCAUCAAUAGUUGGUUCCCUCUGCACGUUUUCAUUUUUAGAAGUUGGUUGAAAGAUGAGUAAUUGUCUUCAAUCAUGAUUAA